rnacentral:rRNA from 1 species
AGUCCAAGGAGUACCUCUCUGUCGACGUGCAGAACGCCCCCUGCGCCGCGCCCAUUAUGGAGGAUACCCUCGCCUCCCUCAAGAAGUACAAGCUCGCCUACAACGACUGGGCCAUGGCAUUCAACAACGCAUCCCAGGUGUGCAAGGUUGGCGCCAACAUCCGCGAGUACAACGGCAUCUCCUUCAUGUCCAUGCACAAGUCCCUCGAGGACGUCGAGCGCGUCGCCCAGGAUGCCUGCGCCGAGGAUGACUUCGACGCCGAGGCUGCCCGCCCCAAGGCUGAGCUUGGCGCCUCCGUCAGGAACGCCGACGUCUGCAGCAGGCUCAAGGACCUCACCGCGUCCAUGAUCGCCGACGCCGACACCUCCUCCGCCCAGAUCCAGUGCUUCGCCGCCAAUUGCGUUGCCCUGAAGGCCGCGGAGCAGGUCAAGCUCGACGCCCUCGUCGCCGCCCACGCCGAGUACGAGGCCAAGUACCUCGCCUAUUCGGCGGCCAUCACUGCAUACAACCAGAAGGUGUCCGAUAAGAACACCCUCAAGGCGGCCGUCAUGGAGUCCUACGAGAUUUUCAACCCCAUCAAGACCACCACCGUCGCCAAGUUCGACAAGGACAACGUCGUCUACCAGAAGUUCGAGUCCGGCGCCGCCAAGGGCAACUGCGGCCUCUCCGACUGCGAGAUGGAGUCCGUCUGCGGCUACGCCGUCGCUGCCGACGCGGAUUACUACGUCGAGGAGAAGGGCGGCAAGUGCGUCCAGAAGCACAAGGACCUCGUGGAGCACUGCCACAAGUAAAUCGAAGUAAAUCGCACGAGAGCCACGACGCAGGUUCCGGCUGCAAUCUGGCCGGGGCCUGUCUAUGGCACGCCGCUCUCCGACCUCCUUCUUAGGCGGCGCGCGUCGCUCGCAUGCUGAAUUCUAUGUUUUAUUUUACUUACGACAACGCGUCCUCUCUCGCCCCCUCACGUCCCUGCAACCUCUCCGGCAAGUUACCAAGUUCGCCCGUGGCGAGACCUCACAGUCGUGUUGAAAAUCGCUCCCGCCGGCAACCGUGGAAUGCACCCGAUGCGCGGACCAAAGUGCGGUCACUUCUUCCCUCCACCCGCAGCUUCGCGCGCAAGCAUAUCCGGCAGCUCGGGGAAGCAUUGCUCGCGUGGAAGCUUAGGGUGCUUGGCGUCGCAGUGCUCAAUCAGCUGCUUGCUUUUCGAGGUCACCAUGAAGGUCUGCCGGCAACUCUGGCAAACGUACGCGCUCGCAUCCUUCGCCUGCUUCGCCAAGCUCUCCUUGCUCGUCGCGGACUUCACUCCGGCAGCAUCCUUCCUCUCCUUCUCCUUCUUCUUGAGCUGAAUCUGCUUCUUGUUCAUCGCCGGGGGCACAGACUGAUGUCGCACUAGCCGGGCAAGAAGAGAAAUACUCGUGCGUGCGUGAAGUCCUGCGAGCAGGGAGACCGAUCCAUUUUUUCCAGCCUCCGAACGAAACCCUGCCACGCGGUUUGUUUUCGGGGCAGGCGCAGAUAGUCAGAACACCCGCGUGUGUAUUUCGGAGCAUUUCGGAGUGCAAACAGGUGCCAGGCGUGCCAGUCAGAACACCCGCGUGUGUGGUAUACUCAACAAAGGGGCUCUCUCGCCGGUGCUUCGCGCAUCGCGCACUGUCUUUAUAGACUAGCUAGACUAGCUUCCCGGGCAUCAUCGGGCGCUCUCCCAACUGCGGUGAUGGAAGUGCGGUGCAGCCGCGCGAAAACGACGUACUCGCACAGACAUACUAGAGUCUACGAAGGCACUAC